rnacentral:sRNA from 1 species
UAUCACCCCUGGCUUCCUCUCUGCUGUUUCUCCUUCUCUGUCUGACUUCCUGCAUCCUUUUCUCAUUUGUCUAUUUCUCACUCCCUUCCUGGUUCUGUUCUUUCUCCCUUCCUCUUCCCCAUGUCUAUUUCUUGCUGUCUCUGUCUCUUGUUUGCUCAUCCUAAUUCUCACUGUUCUCCCUUCUGUUUUUGUCAUUCCUCUGCCAUUUUAUGCUCUCUCUUUUCCACUUCGUUUCUUUCAGUUUCUGUCUCUGCCUCUCACAUGAUCACACUCCUGUUUUCUAACUCACUGUCUGUAUUUCACCACGACUAUAUCUCCCCGACCCCUGUGCUUUUCUCACUGUUUCUUUUUCUUCCGUUUGGAGUCUCUCUUAUCCUCCCCUGCCCCAUCUACCUUUCCCCAUUUUCUCUCUCCUCAUGCAUCCACCCCCUUCCUCCCCAGGAAUAGCCAGGUCUGGCUGGGUCGGCACAACCUGUUUGAGCCUGAAGACACAGGCCAGAGGGUCCCUGUCAGCCACAGCUUCCCACACCCGCUCUACAAUAUGAGCCUUCUGAAGCAUCGAAGCCUUAGACCAGAUGAAGACUCCAGCCAUGACCUCAUGCUGCUCCGCCUGUCAGAGCCUGCCAAGAUCACAGAUGCUGUGAAGGUCCUGGGCCUGCCCACCCAGGAGCCAGCACUGGGGACCACCUGCUACGCCUCAGGCUGGGGCAGCAUCGAACCAGAGGAGUUCUUGCGCCCCAAGAGUCUUCAGUGCGUGAGCCUCCAUCUCCUGUCCAAUGACAUGUGUGCUAGAGCUUACUCUGAGAAGGUGACAGAGUUCAUGUUGUGUGCUGGGCUCUGGACAGGUGGUAAAGACACUUGUGGGGGUGAUUCUGGGGGUCCACUUGUCUGUAAUGGUGUGCUUCAAGGUAUCACAUCAUGGGGCCCUGAGCCAUGUGCCCUGCCUGAAAAGCCUGCUGUGUACACCAAGGUGGUGCAUUACCGGAAGUGGAUCAAGGACACCAUCGCAGCCAACCCCUGAGUGCCCCUGUCCCACCCCUACCUCUAGUAAAUUUAAGUCCACCUCACGUUCUGGCAUCACUUGGCCUUUCUGGAUGCUGGACACCUGAAGCUUGGAACUCACCUGGCCGAAGCUCGAGCCUCCUGAGUCCUACUGACCUGUGCUUUCUGGUGUGGAGUCCAGGGCUGCUAGGAAAAGGAAUGGGCAGACACAGGUGUAUGCCAAUGUUUCUGAAAUGGGUAUAAUUUCGUCCUCUCCUUCGGAACACUGGCUGUCUCUGGAGACUUCUCACUCAGUUUCAGUGAGGACACACACAAAGACGUGGGUGACCAUGUUGUUUGUGGGGUGCAGAGAUGGGAGGGGUGGGGCCCACCCUGGAAGAGUGGACAGUGACACAAGGUGGACACUCUCUACAGAUCACUGAGGAUAAGCUGGAGCCACAAUGCAUGAGGCACACACACAGCAAGGAUGACGCUGUAAACAUAGCCCACGCUGUCCUGGGGGCACUGGGAAGCCUAGAUAAGGCCGUGAGCAGAAAGGAGAGGGUCCUCCUAUGUGGUUGAAGGAGGGACUAGGGGGAGAAACUGAAAGCUGAUUAAUCACAGGAGGUGUGUUCAGGUCCCCCAAACCACUGUCAGAUUUGAUGAUUUCCUAGCAGGACUUACAGAAAUAAA